UGUACUUCUGGGAACAUACUUCAAGGAAAUAACACAAAGGGCAAAAAGAUGACUAGUGUUGGGUUAUUUAUAACAGGAGGCGGCUGAAAAUAACAAGGGGGAAAUGGCCAUAGAAAGCUGGAGGUGACUACUGGGGGAAAUGCCUCUGGCCCUGGCAGUCCACAUUCAGGGGGGUACCCAACCGGGACCUGGGGAACGGCCGCCUCUGGCCCCAGCUGCAGCAAGAUGGAGUCCUGGCCACUUGUGGCCAGUCCCCAAAGCCCGGGCAGAGCUUCCCCUGGCUCUCAUGUGAUACCCCAGAGUGCUGUGGGCAUCGGGGCCCUGGCCUGAUACCUGCUGACCACACAGCUUCACCUGCCAGUGACAUAUGAGCCUGCAUGCAGCUCCCCAGGCCCAUGAUGCUGCGUGACAACUCUGGGCCUCUGCGUAGACACUCCGCCAGCCCAGAAGCCUUUCACCACAUGGACAUCCCAGAUUUUAUUUUGAAGUAAUCUCUACACGCAAACUGGGGCUUGAACUUGCAACCCAGAGAUCAAGAAUUGCAUGCUCUGCAGACUGAACCGGCCGGGCGCCCCCAAAGCCUGUGACUCAAGUCAGGCCACAACCCCAGCGAUGGGAGGAGUCUCCCCAGCUCCAGCCGCAGGGUGAGGGAGCUGGGCCAGCAGCAGUUGCCUGACCUGCCACAGCCGCACUGGAGGUUCCUAGAGCCCUCUGUCCCUUGGGCAGGGACUAUCCUGCAGCAGGUUGGCCGAAGCCCGGCCCAUGGGGACGCAGGUGCGGGGGGAGGUGGUCUGCCAGGCUAAAGCCCACAGCUGACCUGGGUUCAAAUCCUGCUCCAACAUUUUUCAAAUGUG